rnacentral:lncRNA from 1 species
CUGAAAUGUCUAUUGUCAAGAAGCAGCUCCUCGAAGAGUUCGUACCAGAUGAUGCUUGUCCAUUGCCAGCUCCAACACGCAAGGGUACUGGUCAGAACACUGAUGAUCACGUUGUUGGUGCCAAGGAGCACAACCCGUUUCAGGAGGUACCUCAAAAUUCUUUGUACCUCAGUGUAACUUUGAGAUUAAACUUCUUUUUUCUCUGUAUUGUUAAUUAACUCUGUACUUGCAUUGACCUGAUUAUUCAGAGUGAAGAAGCUUUUAUAGAGUCAUUGGAAGAAGGGCCAACCAAUCAGAACAAUAAGCCAGCACUGGAGAGCCCUGAUGUUCUGAGUGUUAAUGAACUGAUUGAAUC